rnacentral:rRNA from 1 species
GGGGAAUUUUGGACAAUGGGCGCAAGCCUGAUCCAGCCAUGCCGCGUGUAUGAAGAAGGCCUUCGGGUUGUAAAGUACUUUUGUCAGGGAAGAAAAGCCUGGGGAUAACACCCUCAGGUCAUGACGGUACCUGAAGAAUAAGCACCGGCUAACUACGUGCCAGCAGCCGCGGUAAUACGUAGGGUGCGAGCGUUAAUCGGAAUUACUGGGCGUAAAGCGAGCGCAGACGGUUAUUUAAGCAAGAUGUGAAAGCCCCGGGCUCAACCUGGGAACUGCGUUUUGAACUGGGUAACUAGAGUGUGUCAGAGGGGGGUAGAAUUCCACGUGUAGCAGUGAAAUGCGUAGAGAUGUGGAGGAAUACCGAUGGCGAAGGCAGCCCCCUGGGAUAACACUGACGUUCAUGCUCGAAAGCGUGGGUAGCAAAC